UACGAAGGGGGCGAGCGUUGUUCGGAAUUACUGGGCGUAAAGGGCGCGCAGGCGGCUCUUCAAGUCAGGCGUGAAAGCCCCGGGCUUAACCUGGGAAUUGCGCUUGGGACUGGAAUCUGGCAGAGGGGGGUGGAAUGCCGCGUGUAGCAGUGAAAUGCGUAGAGAUGCGGCGGAACACCGAUGGCGAAGGCAGCCCCCUGGGCUGAGAUUGACGCUCAGGCACGAAAGCGUGGGGAGCAAACAGG
rnacentral:rRNA from 1 species